CGUGAGCAACCUGCCUUUCAGAGGGGGAUAACGUCUUGAAAAGGACGCUAAUACCGCAUGACAUCACGACUCCACAUGGAGAUGUGAUCAAAGGAGCAAUCCGCUGAAAGAUGGGCUCGCGUCCGAUUAGAUAGUUGGCGGGGUAACGGCCCACCAAGUCGACGAUCGGUAGCCGGACUGAGAGGUUGAACGGCCACAUUGGGACUGAGACACGGCCCAG
rnacentral:rRNA from 1 species